rnacentral:rRNA from 1 species
GGCUCAGAUUGAACGCUGGCGGAAUGCUUUACACAUGCAAGUCGAACGGCAGCACGGACUUCGGUCUGGUGGCGAGUGGCGAACGGGUGAGUAAUAUAUCGGAACGUACCUUAUCGUGGGGGAGUAACGCAGCGAAAGCUGCGCUAAUACCGCAUACGCCCUGAGGGGGAAAGCGGGGACCGUAAGGCCUCGCGCGAUUAGAGCGGCCGAUAUCUGAUUAGCUUGUUGGUGGGGUAAAAGCCCACCAAGGCGACGAUCAGUAGCUGGUCUGAGAGGACGAUCAGCCACACUGGGACUGAGACACGGCCCAGACUCCUACGGGAGGCAGCAGUGGGGAAUUUUGGACAAUGGGGGCAACCCUGAUCCAGCAAUGCCGCGUGAGUGAAGAAGGCCUUCGGGUUGUAAAGCUCUUUUUGUCAGGGAAGAAACAGCAGCUCUAACACAGUCUGCGAAUGACGGUACCUGAAGAAUAAGCACCGGCUAACUACGUG